UACGUAGGGUGCAAGCGUUAAUCGGAAUUACUGGGCGUAAAGGGCGCGUAGGCGGCCUGUUAAGUCGAACGUGAAAUCCCCGGGCUCAACCCGGGAACUGCGUCCGAUACUGGCAGGCUUGAAUCCGGGAGAGGGAUGUGGAAUUCCAGGUGUAGCGGUGAAAUGCGUAGAUAUCUGGAGGAACACCGGUGGCGAAGGCGGCAUCCUGGACCGGUAUUGACGCUGAUGCGCGAAAGCCAGGGGAGCAAACGGG
rnacentral:rRNA from 1 species